UUAAAUUGAAGAGUUUGAUCAUGGCUCAGAUUGAACGCUGGCGGCAGGCCUAACACAUGCAAGUCGAACGGUAACAGGAAGCAGCUUGCUGCUUUGCUGACGUUCGACUUGCAUGCGUUCAGAAUGUCCGGGAAACCGCGUCAUGGCGGGGGCAAACUACUGGAACCGGUGGCUCAUAUCUCAUAUCCACGCCAGACCAAACAGGCGGAGCGUCGGGCCGCUUGCCAUCAGAUGUGCCCAGAUGGGAUUAGCAUGUUGGUGAGGUAACGGCUCACC
rnacentral:rRNA from 1 species